rnacentral:misc_RNA from 1 species
GAUGAAGAACGUAGUGAAAUGCGAUACGUAGUGUGAAUUGCAGAAUUCCGUGAACCAUCAAAUCUUUGAACGCAUAUUGCGCUCGAGGCUUCGGCCGAGAGCAUGUCUGCCUCAGCGUCGGUAUUACCCCUCGCUUCUCAACCCCUGGUUGAUGCCUGCCUGCCUUUGCAGUUGGCUAGAAGCGGAUCUGGCUUUCCCAAUUGCCUUUGGUAGUUGGGUCAGCUGAAGCACAGAGGCUUGAGCAAGGACCCUUAUUGGGCUUCAACUGGAUAGGUAGAACUGGUCUUAGGACCAACUACACGAAGUUGUUGCUUGUGGUCUUUGUCUGGAGGCCAGCAGGAAACCUUUAUACCUUCGACCUGAGCUCAGGCAAGAUUACCCGCUGAACUUAAGCAUAUCAUAAGCGGAGGA